CCUACGGGGGGCAGCAGUGGGGAAUAUUGGACAAUGGGGGGAACCCUGAUCCAGCGACGCCGCGUGAGUGAAGAAGUAUUUCGGUAUGUAAAGCUCUAUCAGCAGGGAAGAAAGAAAUGACGGUACCUGACUAAGAAGCCCCGGCUAACUACGUGCCAGCAGCCGCGGUAAUACGUAGGGGGCAAGCGUUAUCCGGAUUCACUGGGUGUAAAGGGAGCGUAGACGGCCAUGCAAGCCAGGGGGGAAAGCCCGGGGCCCAACCCCGGGACUGCCCUUGGAACUGUGCGGCUAGAGUGCGGGAGGGGCAGGCGGAAUUCCUGGUGUAGCGGUGAAAUGCGUAGAUAUCAGGAGGAACACCGGCGGCGAAGGCGGCCUGCUGGACUGCGACUGACGUUGAGGCUCGAAAGCGUGGGGAGCGAACAGGAUUAGAUACCCUUGUAGUC
rnacentral:rRNA from 1 species